UGCUUUAAUAUAAAAAAAAAAAAAAAAAAGUACAUACAAGUUCUAAACUCCUGUUUUCUGCAAUCGUUUACACUUUUUCUAAAUUUCAACAGAAUAUUAGUUAUGUAGGUAGUCAACACGGCUAACAAACUACAGUACAAGUUACUAAUAACAGUACAAGAUGCUUGGAGUACAUUCUUGCAAAUGUGUGUGAAUACCAAAGAAAUCCUGCAAAGCUGAGAGGUUCCCACACAUGUUGCCCUUUCCUCUCCAACACCCAUAGGAUUUCCCUCAUGGGUUUCCUAACUGCCAAAACACAGAAGGGCUGAUCCUUGGCAGGUGCAACAUCAUUAGCCACAGAGCAUCAUCAGUUGAAUGAGUGAAGGGUGGGACUCACUCUGUGCUCAGAUGCACACUUUCAGGCCGGGGAGAAACACCAUGCACGUCUUUGUGCGUGACAAAGUGAUGGACCUCCUUGGUUACAGCAUUGAGUUACGUAUUUUUCUGAGGGUUUCAAAAUGGAUCUGUUUCUGCUGGAAGAAAUCAGAUCAGGACAGCUUAAGAACAAUCGAGAGCACCCUGCAUUCUCAGUCAUUCUGUGCAAAGCUGUGCAAAUCUUCCUCAAAAAGCAUUGAAUCUGAAGAGUAAGAGCCCACCCCACCACCUCUCCUCCCCCACAAAAGGCUUGCAAAGCUAUCAAGCACUUAAGAAAAUGGAGUGUGAGAUAAAAGGAGCAAAGGUCCUCCACACAAGCCAUAUCAAAACAAAUCUCUACAUACACACAUUGUAACAAUACAGUCACUUCAGAUUUCAAAAGAAAGGUUCACACUUUACAAAGGAGGGAAAGAGAAAAAUAACACAAGAAGCUGUCCUUAUGAUUAUGUACUGGUUCCUAAACCUGUAACCUUAGCCUGUGGCCACCAAAAAUGAAUACCAAGUAGCAUAGCUUAAACCCCAAAGAGGCCUCAGUGGGGUAGCAACAGGUGACCUGGAGGUAGCAUACUUAGCCGAAAAGCAAUCCGAACGAAAUGACAAGCAUUUUUAUCCUAUUCUUGUACAUUUACAUGAUUGAAGACAUCGCGACAAAUGUGCUACGGUGACGUGUCUCUGAAGCCCUACAAGCCCACCUCCUUGCCACCCCAGCAUCAGUCACAGAAGGCUUUUUUUCUCAGAAGCAAGAGUGAUAUCUGGAGUAUUUGUCAGACAGAAAGCCUUAUUUUCUCACUCAGUCGUUCUGGCUUGCAUCUGUGCUUACUGUGUGACAAACAGGACAACCAGCUUCAUCUGAGACUGCCAGAUUUUUCUCACAAGCACUGAUAUAAAAUCUCCUUGUCACUAUCGCCCUGAAGACUGAUACUUCAAUGGCACACUUCAGUCAGCAGCAUCCCAGAACCCCUCACAUCUAUUUGCUGACUGGUAUUAGAUUAUUCUGGUGGGAAGCUGUGGAAGUUGGCAAGCCCUUGUCAAGGCUGGCUUCUCAAUUCAUCAGCACAUUACAAAAAGACUGAACACUGGUGACUCCAGCUUGGAGCAAGGACACCAAAGUCAGUUUCUUUUAUGCAGCAAAAAGGACAAAGAUCUAUUCAGGGGACAUAGAGAUGGCAUAUUGAGAAGACAUGAUGGCGGCUCAGAGUUAGAAAACUUCCUCAGCUGUACUGCCUUUUCACUAACCGAUUUUCUAUUCAUAUCAAGUGAAGUAUUCCUAGUUUUCUCCAGCCAUCUUAUCUUGCACCACAGUCAACGCGUUACAAAAGUCACUAUGAUGCAGUCACUCAAUGUACACUUGUGUCAUUUAUGUCAUGUAUGGGUAGGGGUAUGUACAGCCAGGAGGCAGAGCAGGUUCCAGCCCCCACCUUGCUCUUUCCACAAGGGAAAGCCGAUCCCAGUUAGGUGAGACAGAGAGAACCUAGAGCAUUUCCAAUAUUUAAAAGAAGGCUUCGAGUAUACUAACAGAUAAAAACCUCAAAAGCUGAACAGCAGGAAUGGACAUUAAUAGAACAGCUCCUGCUUCGCAGUCAACUAACUCAGGUGCUCUAAAACGUGUCUCAGCUUAAAUCAUUUUAUCUUGCAGACCGUGCAGAAGAAAGAGGUGCUGUGCCUGCAGGGAAUCAUUGUGCUCUCUCAAUAUUGCCUAGAAGUUACCCGGUCUGUCUGCUCUUCCCUUGCCCACUCUCUUUAUAACAACAGCUCUUUUGCUUCAAUGGCUAGCUGGUUAGACAAGACUAUUUAAUUUCGAACAAACUCCAAGGUCAAGGUAUUAGAAGACUGGAAAUAGAUACCCUGCUACUUCUCAAACAAACAAUGCAUUGUACACUUAGUGCUUCUCUGAAUCGUCCUUCCACAGAGCAUAGCAUCAUGAGGGCAAGAUUUCCAUCAAUCCUGAGCUGGCACCACCAGCUCUAAGAAUUAAAAUGUAAAUCAGGCCUCCUUCCACAGCCUUUCACUCCCCUGCUAAAAUCACUCCCUGCUGCCCAGAGAAGCCAGUUCUUUCUGAACAUCUGUGUGAGACAGACAUUUCUGUGCAAGGACCCCCAGGGUAUUCAAUCGCUCUCACACUGGUGAGACACCAGCCAUCAGGAAUAUUUCUUGACCACUUUGCGUAUUUAUUUCUUAAAUUACAUGUAAACUAAAAUAGAAAGAGAUUGUAUCCCAUAGCCAAACUUAAUUAUUAGACUAGUAAGGACAAUAGGAAUGUACUUACUUUCUCAGAAAUUCUUCAGAAAUCAAAUUGGGAUUCUCAUGUUGCAGGACGUUUUUUCAUCUUCACUCUGCAUUAAGUUUUAGACCAUGGCUGUUGCGCGUUUCACUGACCCUUUGCUGAAAGGGAUUCGCACAGGAAACAAACCUUGAUGAUUUCAUCACCACAGUACUGAGAAUGGAUAAGAGUCACGUCCCACUUGGUAAAUCUAUGGCAUACCCCAGUUGUGCCGUGGUCAUGGGUAAGAGAAUCCCUGAAGACUGAAAGAGCCUCUCAGGAACACUUGUCAGACAACCUCAUCUUCAGGUCACUUUGGAUCUCCAAUGAUCUUCCUAAAACACCUUCAGUUUUUGCAGAGGGCUUUCAGGAGCACAGAUAGAAAUGGGUCAUACAGUGUCCUGAUACAGACCAUGACUCCACUCACUGUGACAAGAAGCAGGAUGGGAAGAGCCCAGCUGGACACCAGAGCUCAAAGCUAGACAUUCUAUAAAUACCUUUUUCCUGAGGAGAAAAAAAAAAAAAAAAAAAAAAAAAAAAAAAAAAAAAAGCCCUCCAGUUCUUUCUUGAAGCCAUUCUUAAGGAUAAGCCAGAACCAGAUAAAGGAGCAAGUCUUUCAUGUCAGAACAUAGUUCUGGGAUGUUUUGCCCCCAAAUUGAAUUAAUCUUAAAAGAAGGGAAGUAACCUAAAAGCCCUUAACAGUCUAUUUUUAAAUGAGAGGAUGUUUUUCAUUUAAUUCUCGAUAACACAAUAAUUUGAAAAUAACUGAGGAAACCAUGUAAUCCCAGAUGGUCUGUGCUCUGUGUGCUGUUGUGAAGCUGCUAUGACUCCACCGCAUUAAAAAAAGACAUACAUUAUUCUGUAGCAAUUGUCCGUGACACUGAGGCUUACAACAUAAAUAUUGCAAUACCUCAUCCAGUUUCUGUAUGACACACCAUGUUUUAUUGCAGUAAUGUCUCAUAAUAGAUGAAGGUGCUGCAGGGUCCUGUUUGGCCAAUUGCUAUAGGACCCUAGAGUGCACUUCCAUAAGGAGGGAAUAUCUCCCACAGGAAGGGAGUUAAGACAAGGUCUGGAUGUCAGGAGAACUGACUAAAGGCUUCACACGCAAUGCUCGGCAAAUCCUUUCUGUGACUUUUUCCUCCCAGCCCCUCCAAGACAGGGAGGUUCGUUCCCUCUUUGCAGAUAGCACUGGAUGCAAGGUAAUGGAGCACAGCCCUGCUACACACAGCAGAAUGCCUCUAAAUCAAGAAGCCAGUGUUUUUCACCGACGUGACAGAUUGAAAAAUGCUUCUGGUACUUCCAUGAGUGGGUUACUAAGCAACACUUUGGCUUCCAGGGAGUAGCCGUGCUGGAUGUGAUCUCAUGCGCCGGCAGCCUGACCGCAUCCCCAGCUGGAGCAGUGGGAAGGCGGGCACGUGUGCUGGCAGUGAAGCCGUGUGGCUCCCAUGGCUGCCAAACAAGCUCUCUUCAGACCUGCAGUGGCCACAAAGGUGCUACGGACCACUCAUGGAGUGGCUAAAAGCAAGGACCAUGCCAUGAUGUGCAGCCAGGAGGGAAGUCGUGCUUAGGAGGUUAUGUCCCACUUGGUAAAUCUAUGGCAUAUCCUAGUCAUGCCAACUCCCCUUCAGCCUCAGAGCAAACAGAGCUGAAGAGGACAGGCUCCAGGGACAGAUGCUAACAACAUGGGCUGGGGAAGAUUUCCACGUGAGGAGAAAGAACAAAAGGACUGGAACAGAUUAGAAAUGCGGCAGGGAGGUGAGCUCAGAGCUAAGUGAGGUCUGAUGCAGUAGAAAAACAUGUACUGCAGGAAGAAGUUGUUUACAGAAAAUCAAAAUGUAGUACACUGGAAACUGAACAAUCAAGUCCAAACUCCAUCAAGUCAAGGAGAAAUUCAGGCUGGUUGCUGACUGCUCUGUAAUGUCUGCUGAGAUGUCUCACUUCACUUUGAAGUCUAUGACAUGGCAUCACCAGAACCAGACUGAACCAGAACCACAUCAGACUCAUUUGGGGCCAAAACACCUAUUUUCUUGUGUGCGUUGGGUGUACUCAACUAGUAAGAACUGCACAUUUUUAAAUAAAGAUUAAGGACUCAUACUACU
rnacentral:lncRNA from 7 species